rnacentral:rRNA from 1 species
AGGACGACGCUGGCGGCGUGCUUAAAACAUGCAAGUCGAACGGACUUCUCAUGAAGCUUGCGAUUGAGAAGUUAGUGGCGGACGGGUGAGUAACGCGUGGGCAACCUGCCCCUGAGCCCGGGAUAACAGUUCGAAAGGACUGCUAAGACCGGAUAUACUUGCGGGGAAGCAUUUCACUGCAAGGAAGGGAACGCUCAGGGAUGGGCCCGCGUCCCAUUAGCUAGUUGGUGAGGUAACGGCCCACCAAGGCGACGAUGGGUAGCCGGCCUGAGAGGGUGAACGGCCACACUGGGACUGAGACACGGCCCAGACUCCUACGGGAGGCAGCAGUUGGGAAUCUUCGGCAAUGGGCGCAAGCCUGACCGAGCAACGCCGCGUGAGUGAUGAAGGUUUUCGGAUUGUAAAGCUCUGUCUUCCGGGACGAUAAUGACGGUACCGGAGGAGGAAGCCACGGCUAACUACGUG